AGAAAAGACGUCGAGCCCAUUGGACUUGUGACACCUUUUUACACACCCUACUCACCGGAACACUCUUGCUUUCUACCAGCUGUACAAAUAAACUCCAUGGAAUUAUUUCCCAUGAUUGAUUGAAAUGAUAAAAUUGAAAGCUAUCGAGUCUUUAAAAUGGAAGGAGAAACCUCAGAUCACAGGAAACCUCUGGAUGGAUCUUGCUGCUUUUCUCUAUGAUUCCAUGCCAUGGUAUAGAGCUAAAUAGAUAUUUGUCUGAUGAGGAAGUGUUGCUAUGCAAUCCACCUAAGCCCCUGUAUGAGUGAAGAUGGCAACUAUUAUUAUUCUGCUGUAAGGUCAGUUGGAGAAGUGGAGGAGGGGGUCUAUUUGGAUCCCCCAACAGCCUGAGGUUCAGUGGUUGAGAGCUAGGACUUCAAAGCCAGCCGCUGAGGUACUGGCUAGCCAUGUGAGUACUUCUUCCUUUUAGUAGUUCAAUUGCCUCUUAUGUAAAUUUGGAUAAUAGCAGUGUCAGCCACGUAAUGAUGAGGAUUAAAUGAAGUAAUUAUGUAAGGUG
rnacentral:lncRNA from 1 species